GUGGGGAAUAUUGGACAAUGGGCGAAAGCCUGAUCCAGCCAUGCCGCGUGUGUGAAGAAGGUCUUCGGAUUGUAAAGCACUUUAAGUUGGGAGGAAGGGCAGUAAGUUAAUACCUUGCUGUUUUGACGUUACCGACAGAAUAAGCACCGGCUAACUUCGUGCCAGCAGCCGCGGUAAUACGAAGGGUGCAAGCGUUAAUCGGAAUUACUGGGCGUAAAGCGCGCGUAGGUGGUUUUGUAAGUUGGAGGUGAAAUCCCCGGGCUCAACCUGGGAACUGCCUCCAAAACUGCAUGACUAGAGUACGGUAGAGGGUAGUGGAAUUUCCUGGGUAGCGGUGAAAUGCGUAGAUAUAGGAAGGAACACCAGUGGCGAAGGCGACUACCUGGACUGAUACUGACACUGGGGUGCGAAAGCGUGGGGAGCAAACAGGAUUAGAUACCCUGGUAGUCC
rnacentral:rRNA from 1 species